AAAAAUAAAGUUAAAGCUAUGUCAAAAUCCUUCCAUAUUUGGAAACUUCACAAUACAGGUCAUCUUUCCAAAUUUGGUAACCUGUGCACUGGACCUUUGUUCCUUCAAUAUUAAUGUUUUGAAUGAUGAAUAAACCCCAUUUGAACAUGUUGGAAGUAUCUCAAGUCAUUCCCUAACCAUUUGACCCUCAGUUGACCAACAAUUGACUUUUGACUUCAUAGUUGAAUUUUG
rnacentral:lncRNA from 1 species